rnacentral:tRNA from 1 species
UAGGCAGAGGCCAGGUGGUUUGGGCAUGUAGCUGUUAACUACAUUAUCAUGGGAUCGAAGCCCAUCUGCCUAG